rnacentral:snoRNA from 1 species
UGCAGUGAUGAAAACCUUGAAUAGGAAGUGCCGUCAGAUGCGACAACUGAAGACGUCUCAUCCACUUUUCUGAUU